rnacentral:rRNA from 1 species
AUUGAACGCUGGCGGCAGGCUUAACACAUGCAAGUCGAGCGAGCGGCGGACGGGUGAGUAAUGUCUGGGAAACUGCCUGAUGGAGGGGGAUAACUACUGGAAACGGUAGCUAAUACCGCAUACCAUCAGAUGUGCCCCUAUGGGCUUUGCUAGUAGGUGGGGUAAUGGCUCACCUAGGCGACGAUACCUAGCUGGUCUGAGAGGAUGACCAGCGAAGCUGGGACUGAGACACGGGCCAGACUCCUACGGGAGGCAGCAGUGGGGAAUAUUGCACAAUGGGCGCAAGCCGGAGGCAGCCAUGCCGCGUGUGUGAAGAAGGCCUUAGGGUUGUAAAGCACUUUCAGCGAGGAGGCGUUACUCGCAGAAGAAGCACCGGCUAACUCCGUGCCAGCAGCCGCGGUAAUAC